AAUUUCAUAUAUGUGCCUGUGUGUAUUUAUACUUGUUUAGAAAUGAAAUAGGAAGCACCAGAGCUUGAGGAAAUAGUAGUGUCUAUCAAGGAUUGACUUCUAACUUUGGUUCUAUAGUUAAAAUUGUGACAUUCUUAGCUUCUGAAAAGAUAACAUGAAAAAACAAAAAUUGGUUGAAAUUCUUUCAGCUGUGAAUUUUAUAAGCAUUUUGGUGAAUAUAGAUAAAGUUGUUGAUUUGUGCAGGGUUCACAGACAAAAGAAUGUGGCAUCCCUAUCAAAAUCUUGUGAUGAUAUUUUUAAUCAGCUUCUGCAGCGUGGUGUUUCCCCAGACCAGCUUUACGAUACCAUUUGCAAGCAGGAGGUCGAGAUUGUUCUUACUGUACAUCCUACACAAAUUAAUCACGGAACCUUACAAUACAAACAUAUCAGACUUUCUCGUCUUUUAAAUUAAAGAGACCGACCUGAUCUUACUAGUGAAGACAGAGAUAUGGUGAUUGAAGACCUGGUGCGAGAGAUAACUUCUGUAUGGCAAACAGAUGAGCUUAGGCACCAUAAACCCACACUAGGUGAUGAAGCUAGGGCAGGUAAAGGUCACAAAAGAUGUCUCACUUUUAUCUAGGUGGAUGACUAUUGAUCUCUAUAUUCGAGAAGUGGAUAUAUAGCCUGAAAUUUGAACUAUCCAUGAAUAGGUGCAGCGAUAUCUUGUCAAAACUGGCACAAGAGAUUCUAGAACACG